CCUACGGGAGGCAGCAGUGGGGGAUAUUGCACAAUGGGGGAAACCCUGAUGCAGCGACGCCGCGUGUGGGAAGACGGUCCUCUGGAUUGUAAACCACUGUCCCCAGGGACGAAGAUGACGGUACCUGGGGAGGAAGCUCCGGCUAACUACGUGCCAGCAGCCGCGGUAAUACGUAGGGAGCGAGCGUUGUCCGGAAUUACUGGGUGAAAAGGGAGCGUAGGCGGGACUGCAAGUUGGGUGUCAAAUCUACCGGCUCAACCGGUAGCCGCACUCAAAACUGCAGUUCUUGAGUGAAGUAGAGGCAGGCGGAAUUCCUAGUGUAGCGGUGAAAUGCGUAGAUAUUAGGAGGAACACCAGUGGCGAAGGCGGCCUGCUGGGCUGUAACUGACGCUGAGGCUCGAAAGUGUGGGGAGCAAACAGGAUUAGAUACCCUAGUAGUC
rnacentral:rRNA from 1 species